rnacentral:rRNA from 1 species
UGGGGAAUAUUGCACAAUGGGCGCAAGCCUGAUGCAGCCAUGCCGCGUGUGUGAAGAAGGCCUUCGGGUUGUAAAGCACUUUCAGCGGGGAGGAAGGCGAUAAGGUUAAUAACCUUGGCAAUUGACGUUACCGACAGAAGAAGCACCGGCUAACUCCGUGCCAGCAGCCGCGGUAAUACGGAGGGUGCAAGCGUUAAUCGGAAUUACUGGGCGUAAAGCGCACGCAGGCGGUUGAUUGAGUCAGAUGUGAAAUCCCCGGGCUUAACCCGGGAAUUGCAUCUGAUACUGGUCAGCUAGAGUCUUGUAGAGGGGGGUAGAAUUCCAUGUGUAGCGGUGAAAUGCGUAGAGAUGUGGAGGAAUACCGGUGGCGAAGGCGGCCCCCUGGACAAAGACUGACGCUCAGGUGCGAAAGCGUGGGGAGCAAACAGG